GACGAACGCUGGCGGCGUGCUUAACACAUGCAAGUCGAACGGAAAGGCCCUGCUUUUGUGGGGUGCUCGAGUGGCGAACGGGUGAGUAACACGUGAGUAACCUGCCCUUGACAUUGGGAUAACUUCAGGAAACUGGGGCUAAUACCGGAUAGGAGCUCCUGCUGCAUGGUGGGGGUUGGAAAGAUUCGGCGGUUGGGGAUGGACUCGCGGCUUAUCAGCUUGUUGGUGGGGUAGUGGCUUACCAAGGCUUUGACGGGUAGCCGGCCUGAGAGGGUGACCGGCCACAAUGGGACUGAGGUACCGCCCAGACGCCUACGGGGGGCAGCAGUGGGGGAUAUUGCACAAUGGGCGGAGGCCUGAUGCAGCAACGCCGCGUGCGGGAUGACGGCCUGCGGGUUGGAAACCUGGUGCGCCUGUGACGAAGAGUGAGUGACGGUAAUGAGUAAAGAAGCAACGGCUAACUACGUG
rnacentral:rRNA from 1 species